CUCUGAACCCUGUGACUUUGACUGAGAACUUUUCUUCUUAAUGAAAGUGGUUCAGUAGACUGUAGUCAUUAGACGUAUUGAUGGUGACAGAAAGGGUCGGGGUGUGAGGCAUGGCCCAUCCACACGAUGGAUACGUUCCUGCUUCAUGACAUGCAGCAAGACAGAUGUGCUCAUUUUCUCCAGCAUGGGUGGAGAGGUGUGCCCUUCCUGCCAGGGGCGAGCUGGAGAAACAAAAGGAUAGUGGAUUGUGCCAGACUUCUCUCUAGACGGGGCAGAUUGACAUCGCUUCUGCUGCCGUUUUUCACACCAGCCCAUCUGGGCAGUCAGCCUGGACCCCAAAGGCUCAGGCCAGGCAGUUUGAUUGGUUAUGU